AUCAGUAGCCGGCCUGAGAGGGUGGACGGCCACAUUGGGACUGAGACACGGCCCAAACUCCUACGGGAGGCAGCAGUGGGGGAUAUUGCACAAUGGGGGAAACCCUGAUGCAGCGACGCCGCGUGAGUGAAGGAGCGUUUCGGCGCGUAAAGCUCUAUCAGCAGGGAAGACAAACUGCCCCGGAAGGGGCAGCCGGACGGUACCUGACCAAGAAGCCCCGGCUAACUACGUGCCAGCAGCCGCGGUAAUGCGUAGGGGGCAAGCGUUAUCCGGAUUUACUGGGUGUAAAGGGAGCGUAGACGGCAAGACAAGCCUGGAGUGAAAGGCGGGGGCCCAACCCCCGGACUGCUCUGGGAACUGUCUGGCUGGAGUGCAGGAGGGGUAAGUGGAAUUCCUAGUGUAGCGGUGAAAUGCGUAGAUAUUAGGAGGAACACCAGUGGCGAAGGCGGCUUACUGGACUGUAACUGACGUUGAGGCUCGAAAGCGUGGGGAGCAAACAGGAUUAGCUACCGUGGUAGUCCACGCCGUAAACGAUGAGUGGUAAUUGUUGGGGGUCGAACGUCAGUGCUGAAGUUAACGCAUUAAGCACUUCGCCUGGGGAGUACGGUUGCAAGAAUGAAAAUCAAAGGAAUUGACGGGGACCCGCACAAGCGGUGGAGCAUGUGGUUUAAUUUGAAGCAACGGGAAGAACCUUACCAGGUCUUGACAUACCAUUGACGCCUCUAGUAGAUAGAGGGUUUCCUUCGGGGACAAUGGAUACAGGUGGCGCAUGGUUGUUGUCAGUUCGUGUCGUGAGAUGUUGGGUUAUGUCCGGCAACGAGCGCAACCCUUCUCGUUUGUCGCCGCGCAAUAAGAUGGGGAUUCUAACGAGACUCCCAGGAUCACACUGGAGGAAGGUGGGGAUGACGUCAAAUCAUCAUGCCCCUUAUGACAUGGGCUACACACGUGCUACAAUGGGUGGUACAAAGAGAAGCGAACCGGUGACGGGGAGCAAACCUCAUAAAGCCAAUCUCAGUUCGGAUUGUAGUCUGCAACUCGCCUACAUGAAGUUGGAAUCGCUAGUAA
rnacentral:rRNA from 1 species